rnacentral:rRNA from 1 species
ACGCUGGCGGCGUGCCUAACACAUGCAAGUCGAACGGGGUAAUUGCUUCGGUGAUUACUUAGUGGCGAACGGGUGAGUAACGCGUGAGGAACCUGCCUCUCAGGUGGGGGACAACAGUUGGAAACAGUUGCUAAUACCGUAUGAAAUGGCAAUGUCGCAUGACAUAACCAUCAAAGAUUCAUCGCCCAAGGAUGAGCUUGCGUCCGAUUAGAUAGUUGGUGAGGUAACGGCUCACCAAGUCGACGAUCGGUAGCCGGACUGAGAGGCUGAACGGCCACAUUGGAACUGAGAUACGGUCCAGACUCCUACGGGAGGCAGCAGUGGGGAAUAUUGGGCAAUGGGCGAAAGCCUGACCCAGCGACGCCGCGUGAGGGAAGAAGAUCUUCGGAUUGUAAACCUUAGUCAACAGGGAAGAAGAAAGUGACGGUACCUGUGGAGGAAGCCACGGCUAACUACGUG